GACGAACGCUGGCGGCGUGCCUAAUACAUGCAAGUCGAACGCACUCUCGUUUAGAUUGAAGGAGUUUGCUCCUGAUUGAUAAACAUUUGAGUGAGUGGCGGACGGGUGAGUAACACGUGGGUAACCUGCCCUAAAGUGGGGGAUAACAUUUGGAAACAGAUGCUAAUACCGCAUAAAACCUAACACCGCAUGGUGUAGGGUUGAAAGAUGGUUUCGGCUAUCACUUUAGGAUGGACCCGCGGUGCAUUAGUUAGUUGGUGAGGUAAAGGUUCACCAAGACCGUGAUGCAUAGCCGACCUGAGAGGGUAAUCGGCCACCCUGGAACUGAGACACGGCCCAGACUCCUACGGGAGGCAGCAGUAGGGAAUCUUCCACAAUGGACGAAAGUCUGAUGGAGCAACGCCGCGUGAGUGAAGAAGGUUUUCGGAUCGUAAAACUCUGUUGUUGGAGAAGAAUGUAUCUGAUAGUAACUGAUCAGGUAGUGACGGUAUCCAACCAGAAAGCCACGGCUAACUACGUG
rnacentral:rRNA from 1 species